rnacentral:misc_RNA from 1 species
GUGAAUUUUGAAAGGAAAGUUUAAUUUUGGGAUUUGAAUGUAAAUAUUAUAAAGAAGAUUUUGAGAUUGUUUUUGUUUAGUUAGUUGAAAUUAUUUCGUUUUUAACGAAUUUUUUAGAGAGGUUUAAAUAUGUAUUUGUAGAUUUUGUAGAAAGUGUGUUUUUAAAUUGUUAUAUUGUAAGGAAUGUUUAGUUUUGUGAGUUUUAUUUAAUUAUUUUAAAGAAUUUUUUGAGAAAGUUUUUGUUUUUUUUUUAUAGGAAGUUAUUUUUUUUAUUAUGGUAGGUUUUAAAGAA